GCACCUGACUGCGCGAGAAGCCGACACCGCAGCGCACGGCCGGGUCAGCAGACGGAAAGAGCCGUCGGUGCGGGGUCUGCGGGGCGGGAGACCGCCCCGGCCCUCGAGGGCGUCCAGAGCGUCCUGAUCUUCAAGGUCGCGAAAGUUUUCGUGAUUGCACCUUCAGGUGUCAGGUGUUAGCGUGGCCCAGUUUAAAUAGAUUGAAUGCUCUCCUGCAAGUCAUUUCUCUGGCUAGAAACCAAGGUCUGCUGUGAGAGUUGCUGGAUAAAGAUGUACCUUGCAAGAAGUUGCUGUGACAAAGCCUCCUUCUGUGUGAAAACAGAGCUGAACUUUAUUGCAAGCACCCUUGGGCGAGGUUCCAUGACUCAGAGAGAGAGAGAGAGUCGGGCAAGUCACAGUGAGUUGGGGAAGUCGCCAUAUUUUAAUUUUUAAUAAUGUCUCUAUCAGCUGGCUCACUAAAUUCCUGAAAAUUUAGUAAUCAGUUCUAUUGAACUAGCUGGCUCCAGGACACUACUAGCAGGUACUUAACAAUUAUCAUAUCCAUUAGAGAAUUUGGGAGCUCUUGAAGACCAGUGUUUGAGACAAGAAACAAACAGUAUGAGUAGGACAUAAGAGUAAGCCAAAAAAAGAUCUGAAUGAA